rnacentral:misc_RNA from 1 species
AUGUGUUUGGACUUUUGUCCUUCAUCCCGACGCUGUGCGCCUUUCGAGGCUGCACGCCGAAGGAGCAUAUAUCCACACCUGUGCACAUACACGGUGGUGGGGCUUGAUUGCCUCGCCGCUGCUUCACACACGUCUUAACAGUCUUGUAUGUUUUAUAUCAUAUUAUACA